rnacentral:rRNA from 1 species
GAUGAACGCUGGCGGCGUGCUUAACACAUGCAAGUCGAACGGAAAGGCUCCUGCUUGCAGGGGUACUCGAGUGGCGAACGGGUGAGUAACACGUGGGUGAUCUGCCCUGCACUUCGGGAUAAGCCUGGGAAACUGGGUCUAAUACCGGAUAGGACCACAUUUUGGAUGGUGUGGUGGAAAGUUUUUCGGUGUGGGAUGAGCUCGCGGCCUAUCAGCUUGUUGGUGGGGUAAUGGCCUACCAAGGCGUCGACGGGUAGCCGGCCUGAGAGGGUGUACGGCCACAUUGGGACUGAGAUACGGCCCAGACUCCUAUGGGAGGCAGCAGUGGGGAAUAUUGCACAAUGGGCGCAAGCCUGAUGCAGCGACGCCGCGUGGGGGAUGACGGCCUUCGGGUUGUAAACUCCUUUCGCUAGGGACGAAGCGUUUUUGUGACGGUACCUGGAGAAGAAGCACCGGCUAACUACGUG